AGUGAACGCUGGCGGCAGGCCUAACACAUGCAAGUCGAGCGGCAGCGCGGGGGCAACCCUGGCGGCGAGCGGCGGACGGGUGAGGAAUUCGUCGGAAUCUGCCUUUUUGUGGGGGAUAACGUAGGAAAACUUACGCUAAUACCGCAUACGUCCUACGGGAGAAAGUGGGGGACCGCAAGGCCUCACGCAGAAAGAUGAGCCGACGACCGAUUAGCUAGUUGGUGGGGUAAAGGCCCACCAAGGCGACGAUCGGUAGCUGGUCUGAGAGGAUGAUCAGCCACACUGGGACUGAGACACGGCCCAGACUCCUACGGGAGGCAGCAGUGGGGAAUAUUGGACAAUGGGCGCAAGCCUGAUCCAGCCAUGCCGCGUGUGUGAAGAAGGCCUUCGGGUUGUAAAGCACUUUUGUCCGGAAAGAAAUCCCUGGAGCUAAUACCUUCGGGGGAUGACGGUACCGGAAGAAUAAGCACCGGCUAACUUCGUG
rnacentral:rRNA from 1 species